AGAGUUUGAUCCUGGCUCAGGACGAACGCUGGCGGCGUGCCUAAUAUAAGCAAGUCGAGCGAGCUUGCCUAGAUGAUUUUAGUGCUUGCACUAAAUGAAACUAGAUACAAGCGAGCGGCGGACGGGUGAGUAACACGUGGGUAACCUGCCCAAGAGACUGGGAUAACACCUGGAAACAGAUGCUAAUACCGGAUAACAACACUAGACGCAUGUCUAGAGUUUGAAAGAUGGUUCUGCUAUCACUCUUGGAUGGACCUGCGGUGCAUUAGCUAGUUGGUAAGGUAACGGCUUACCAAGGCAAUGAUGCAUAGCCGAGUUGAGAGACUGAUCGGCCACAUUGGGACUGAGACACGGCCCAAACUCCUACGGGAGGCAGCAGUAGGGAAUCUUCCACAAUGGACGAAAGUCUGAUGGAGCAACGCCGCGUGAGUGAAGAAGGGUUUCGGCUCGUAAAGCUCUGUUGGUAGUGAAGAAAGAUAGAGGUAGUAACUGGCCUUUAUUUGACGGUAAUUACUUAGAAAGUCACGGCUAACUACGUGCCAGCAGCCGCGGUAAUACGUAGGUGGCAAGCGUUGUCCGGAUUUAUUGGGCGUAAAGCGAGUGCAGGCGGUUCAAUAAGUCUGAUGUGAAAGCCUUCGGCUCAACCGGAGAAUUGCAUCAGAAACUGUUGAACUUGAGUGCAGAAGAGGAGAGUGGAACUCCAUGUGUAGCGGUGGAAUGCGUAGAUAUAUGGAAGAACACCAGUGGCGAAGGCGGCUCUCUGGUCUGCAACUGACGCUGAGGCACGAAAGCGUGGGUAUCGAACAGGAUUAGAUACCCUGGUAGUCCACGCAGUAAACGAUGAAUGCUGGCUGUCCGGGGGGACUGACCCCUGGGUGGCGAAGCGAAAGCGAUAAGCAUUCCACCUGGGGAGUACGCCGGCAACGGGUGAAACUCAAAGGAAUUGACGGGGGCCCGCACAAGCGGAGGAACAUGUGGUUUAAUUCGAUGAUACGCGAGGAACCUUACCCGGGCUCAAACGGGGAGUGACUCAGGCAGAGACGCCUGUUUCCCACGGGACACUCCCCGAGGUGCUGCAUGGUUGUCGUCAGCUCGUGCCGUGAGGUGUCGGCUUAAGUGCCAUAACGAGCGCAACCCCCGCGUGCAGUUGCUAACAGAUAACGCUGAGGACUCUGCACGGACUGCCGGCGCAAGCCGCGAGGAAGGCGGGGAUGACGUCAAAUCAGCACGGCCCUUACGUCCGGGGCGACACACGUGUUACAAUGGGUGGUACAGCGGGAAGCCAGGCGGCGACGCCGAGCGGAACCCGAAAUCCACUCUCAGUUCGGAUCGGAGUCUGCAACCCGACUCCGUGAAGCUGGAUUCGCUAGUAAUCGCGCAUCAGCCAUGGCGCGGUGAAUACGUUCCCGGGCCUUGUACUCACCGCCCGUCA
rnacentral:rRNA from 1 species